GUUUGUUUGUCGCUCAUCUUCUCUCUUCCCACACCUCAGAUGUGGCAUAGCAUAGAGUUGGAGCUUGGGCCCCAGAGCCAGAGCAGCAUAUGGGUUAGAAUUUAGGCUGUCUUCUACUAGCUGGGUGACCAUGGCAAGUUGGUAAACCCCCUUGGGCCUUUGUUUCCCUGUCUGUCAAUGUAGAAGAGAAUGAUCAUAACCAUGCAAAGUCAGCUGACUCCAUAAUCAUCUUAUGUGAUCUUUGAGUGUUGUUACAACCACGGCAGUUUUUAUAUGUGAUUCUUCGCCACCAUCCUGAGAGUGCCGUAGCUAGAAGAGGCUAGAUCAAAGGGUGGCAAACUUGUUUUCCUGUUGGAAUGAUCUAGGGAGCCUCAAAAAUUAUGGAUGCCUGCUCCACUCCAGAGAUUGUGAUUUAAUUGGUCUAAGAUGUGGCCUGGGCGCUGGAGUUAUUAAAGAUCCUGAGGUGACUAUAAUGUGCAAGCAAGCUUGGGAACUGCUAGGCUUCUGCCUCGAGGCAGGCAGAACCCAAGUGCCCUAGUCCUCAGCAUGCUUUCUGCCAACUGUGUGGAGUCUUUGACUUGGAAACUGGAACUUGAUUGGCAAGUCUUUUGAUUCUAAUUUCAGAGGACCAGGGGAGGGUGGAUUUAGUGAGUCCCACCUGCACCCCACCAGCCAGAGCAGGUUUCACGUGAAGCUUUAGGUGUAAGAUUUUAGUUUUGUUUUGCUUUUUACUCAUAGGUCUCCAAAACAAGUAAAUAAAGACAAGCAUAUGAAAACCACUGAACUUUCUGCACAG
rnacentral:lncRNA from 1 species